AUACGGAAGGUCCGGGCGUUAUCCGGAUUUAUUGGGUUUAAAGGGAGCGCAAGCGGAGAUGCAAGCGUGACGUCAAAUUUCGGGGCUCAACCCCGUCUCGCGUCGCGAACUGCGUCCCUUGGUUGCGGGAAGGGGAGGCGGAACUCGUGGUGUAGCGGUGAAAUGCAUAGAUAUCACGAAGAACUCCGAUCGCGAAGGCAGCCUUCCGGCCCGUCAACGACGCUCAUGCUCGAAGGUGCGGGUAUCAAACAGGAUUAGAUACCCUGGUAGUCCGCACAGUAAACGAUGGACACCCGCGGUUUGGCCUAUAUGGCUGAGCCGCCAAGCGAAAGCGUUAAGUGUCCCACCUGGGGAGUACGCCGGCAACGGUGAAACUCAAAUGAAUUGGCGGGG
rnacentral:rRNA from 1 species